rnacentral:lncRNA from 1 species
AUGCGCAGGAGACCCAAGCGGCGCGGCGCGUAUAGGUGGCUUCGCUUCCGCGGCGGCCACCUGGGCCUGGUUGCGCCUGCGCGCUGAGCAAUUACAGAAUAUCUGCUCUGUUUAAGAACUUGGAAAAUGAAGACAUGAGUGAAACAGUCCCACCCCUUAAAGAACUCUGAAGUUAUUGAGAAAGACAGAGGGGCAGUAAACAACUCUCCUACAAGAGAAGAGCUGCCUUUCAAGGCAUUGCUUAAACAUAACUGAAGAAAUGAUGAACAAUACUAGAAUAGCUUUUGUGGUGGAGGUAGCAUUUGAGCUAAGCUUUGAAAAUGAAGAUUUCCACAAGCAAAGAAGCACAUAAAUCACUAAUAACUACUCUGAAAAGACCUCUUCCUCCUUGCUUCUAAGCUGAGUUUCUUGCCUGAAUAUGCUUUCUUAGUUAAAGGUAUCUUUCUCUCCCUGCUCACCAGGGGAGACAUCAAAGGUAGGUAGUUUGAAGAUAUUAUAUAUUCCUCCUUCCAUUUCUUAUAUUAUGACCUUAUCAAACUACAGUGCUCCAUAUAUUCUAUUUGUUUUCCAUUUUAUUGUUGUUUUGUGGUCUGUUGGUUUCUGGCAAAAAAAAUUAAAAGAUAAGUUUUAAUAUACUUAUCUCUGAGAAGUACUGAGAGUGUUUAGUAGAUGAUGAUGAGUUAAAUGAUGACAAGAAUUGGAGAUCAAAUAAAAAUGCCUUGCUCACUAUCCAGUAUAUAUAGCAAGUACACAUAAAUGUGUUUGGCAUGCAUAUGAUGUUUAUGCCCAACUGUGCUCUUUGCUGUCACAUAAAUUUCAAUGUUCUUAAAUUCUCAAUGUUCUUAAGUUUCCUCAGCAGUAAAUUGAUACAUUAAAAUGACAUUUGUACCAAUAUUGGGGAAGAAUAACAAAGCUAAAUUGAGGUUUCAA